rnacentral:rRNA from 1 species
GAUGAACGCUAGCGGGAGGCCUAAUACAUGCAAGUCGAACGGUAACAGGAUAGCAAUAUCGCUGACGAGUGGCGCACGGGUGCGUAACACGUACACAAUCUGCCUUAUACUGGAGCAUACCCCCAAGAAAUUGGGACUAAUUCUCCAUAAUAUAUUUGGAUGGCAUCAUUUGAAUAUUAAAACUCCGGUGGUAUAAGAUGAGUGUGCGUCCGAUUAGGUAGUUGGUGAGGUAACGGCUCACCAAGCCAACGAUCGGUAGCUGGUCUGAGAGGACGAUCAGCCACACGGGCGCUGAGACACGGGCCCGACUCCUACAGGAGGCAGCAGUAGGGAAUAUUGGACAAUGGGCGCAAGCCUGAUCCAGCCAUCCCGCGUGAAGGAUUAAGGUCCUAUGGAUUGUAAACUUCUUUUCUCUGGAAAUAAAAACUGGGGUUCUCCUCAGCCUGAAGGUACCAGAGGAAUAAGCACCGGCUAACUCCGUGCCAGCCGCCGCCGUAACAC